rnacentral:pre_miRNA from 1 species
UUUGAGGGGAAUGUUGUCUGGCUCGAGGACUCUCUUUUGAUGCUUUUACAUACAGAUCUAAGCAUAUUGAUCAACUGCUAGUGUCGUCGGACCAGGCUUCAUUCCCCCCAAU